AACAGUCCGAAAGGACUGCUAAUACCGAAUGUUGUGAGUUUCCGCAUGGGAAGCUCAUUAAAGAUGGCCUCUACUUGUAAGCUAUCACUUAGAGAUGGGCCUGCGUCUGAUUAGCUAGUUGGCGGGGUAACGCCCACCAAGGCGACGAUCAGUAGCCGGUCUGAGAGGAUGAACGGCCACAUUGGGACUGAGACACGGCCCAGACUCCUACGGGAGGCAGCAGUGGGGAAUCUUCCGCAAUGGGCGAAAGCCUGACGGAGCAACGCCGCGUGAAGUGAAGAAGGUCUUCGGAUCGUAAAGCUCUGUCGAAGGGGACGAACGUGGGUUCUAUCAACAACGGAACCUAAUGACGGUACCUUUCAAGAAAGCCACGGCUAACUACGUGCCAGCCGCUGC
rnacentral:rRNA from 1 species